UCUGCAUGGAAGCUCCUAGAAACACAACAUAUCUUAAAUAAAGAUUCUUGCUCUCUGCACUCUCAACUGAAUCUCCAUACAAAGUCCCAGGCUAACUGCCAGCCCUGCCAGCCAUGCAUUGGAGAAGGCUUGACUGCAAGCCAACGCUGCAGAUCACCUAUCAAUUUCAUGGCAAGAUCACAAGUGGAGGGAUUGGAAUACUAAUCAUCAUCAUCAGACUUUAUCCAGCAACUGAUAGGAGCAGAUGCUGAGUCCCAUAGACGAAUAUUAGGCUGAGCAUGAGGAGUCUUGAGGAGAAAAGGAAGGGAUUAUUGGAGAAGCCAGAGGGAUCAAAACGCCACAAGAACAUGGUCCACCGAAUCAAUCAGCUACAUACCAUUUCUGAAGUAACAAAACAAGGCAAAUAUGAACCAGUGCUUGCCAAGACUUGGGAAUGUAAAUGGAGGAAGCUGGAGAAGAGGAGGGGCUAAUCUAUAGAUGACAACUAGAUGGAUACCUAAGAGUAACUUCAGUUGAUCUGUUUGAAGUUUGCUGAUUCUUUUUCUGUCUCUUCAAACCCACUACUGAAGAGC